CAAGUCGAGCGAGGACCACUCGGUGGCAACACCGGGUGACUCCUAGCGGCGAACGGGUGAGUAACACGUGGGUAACCUGCCCCCGACACCGGGAUAAGCCUGGGAAACUGGGUCUAAUACCGGAUAUGAGCCUCCUCCGCAUGGUGGAGGCUGGAAAGGGUCUCCGGUCGGGGAUGGGCCCGCGUCCUAUCAGCUUGUUGGUGGGGUGAUGGCCUACCAAGGCGACGACGGGUAGCCGGCCUGAGAGGGUGUACGGCCACACUGGGACUGAGACACGGCCCAGACUCCUACGGGAGGCAGCAGCGGGGAAUAUUGCGCAAUGGGCGAAAGCCUGACGCAGCGACGCCGCGUGCGGGACGAAGGCCUUCGGGUUGUAGACCGCUUUCAGCAGGGACGAAGCGAGAGUGACGGUACCUGCAGAAGAAGGUCCGGCCAACUACGUGCCAGCAGCCGCGGUAAUACGUAGGGACCGAGCGUUAUCCGGAUUCAUUGGGGCGUAAAGAGCUCGUAGGCGGCUAUCCAAGUCGAACGUGAAAUCUCGGAGCUCAACUCCGAGCCUGCGUUCGAUACUGUAUGGCUAGAGUCUGGUAGGGGGAUCUGGAAUUCCUGGUGUAGCGGUGGAAUGCGCAAAUAUCAGGAGGAACACCGGUUG
rnacentral:rRNA from 1 species